UACAGAGGGGGCAAGCGUUGUUCGGAAUUACUGGGCGUAAAGAGCUCGUAGGCGGUUUGUCGCGUCUGCUGUGAAAACUCGGGGCUUAACUCCGGGCCUGCAGUGGGUACGGGCAGACUAGAGUGCGGUAGGGGAGACUGGAAUUCCUGGUGUAGCGGUGAAAUGCGCAGAUAUCAGGAGGAACACCGGUGGCGAAGGCGGGUCUCUGGGCAGUAACUGACGCUGAGGAGCGAAAGCGUGGGGAGCGAACAGG
rnacentral:rRNA from 1 species